GUUUUAGUGUUUUAUUGUAACCAUGUGGGUAAUGGAGUUUUGCCUCUGUCCUUGGAGAUAAUUGGAUUACUUCCCAAUUAUCUCCAGGAUAGAGGGGAGGGAUUGUAAUGUAUUGAGGGAGUGUUUUAACCAUGUCUGCCUGUGAUUGGUCAUUUUACCAUUUGUGUCCCAGUUUCCCAUUUGGUCCCCUAGGGGAGUGUCCACCAGGUGGGAGACCUGUAUAAAUACUGGGCAGGUAGCCCUCAUUAAACAGACCACUGCUUGACCCUCACCACAGAGCUCUGUCUCGUUCUUGGGGGGAUUUACUGUAUGCUGAUAGACACUGAUUGCUAGG